CACGGGUGAGUAACACGUGGAUAAUCUACCUAUAAGCCUGGGACAACAGUUGGAAACGACUGCUAAUACCGGAUACGCACUACGGUGGAAAGAUGGUUUCGGCCAUUACUUAUAGAUGAGUCCGCGCAUGAUUAGCUAGUUGGAAGGGUAAGAGCCUCCCAAGGCGAAGAUCAUUAGCCGGCCUGAGAGGGUGAUCGGCCACACUGGGACUGAGACACGGCCCAGACUCC
rnacentral:rRNA from 1 species